rnacentral:rRNA from 1 species
UACGUAGGGUGCGAGCGUUAAUCGGAAUUACUGGGCGUAAAGCGUGCGCAGGCGGUGAGUUAAGUCUGAUGUGAAAGCCCCGGGCUCAACCUGGGAAUGGCAUUGGAAACUGGCUCGCUGGAGUAUGGCAGAGGGGGGUGGAAUUCCGCGUGUAGCAGUGAAAUGCGUAGAGAUGCGGAGGAACACCGAUGGCGAAGGCAGCCCCCUGGGCCAAUACUGACGCUCAGGCACGAAAGCGUGGGGAGCAAACAGG